rnacentral:misc_RNA from 1 species
CCCGAAGAACCGUGCACAGCCCUACCUCCUGCUACUUGAUAGCGAAGUGUCCACUCUGACCACCCCCUGUGAGGUGAAGACAGAGGAGUGAUCUCCACCCUUAACUGUCCAAUAGCCAUUCUUAGGUAGAGGGGUUUUAUGGGACUGUUUGAUCGGUUUCCUUAUUGUGUUUUGCUCUGUUUUUCCUUGCUGUUUGUUUUAUGCAGACGGAUUCGGAUCCCUCCAAGAUUGGUUUAUCUAUAGCGCCUGCUGAUAAUUACCAGGUCCCUUAAUGGCUAAAGGAGAGAGAGAGAUUGACGCAUAAGUUCUAACUGCCUCCUUUGGGUCUCCGUUGCUCCUCAAUGGCGUUAAUCUUCAGAGUUUUUUUCGGUUCAUAGUUUGAAAGUUGUUUCUAUCUUUCGGGACCUCCUUAGCCAAGCUCAUUCUUACUUGGCUUCGGCCUUCGAUUUUCAUGGUUUUGCCCUUGCUUGGGUUGGCCUUCGGUUUUGCUUGGUGGUGAAGCACUCCGGUGGCUGACCUGUUGAAGUGGGUAGCGCAAACCCCUCCAGUUGCAGAGCUCCCUGGUGGUUGGUUGUUGUUGCCCUAGCUAGAGCUAAGUUUGUAUGGGCUCGGGCUGACUCUAUGGCUAAGUAUGGACUAUUAGACUGGGACCCUUUUUGUUUAUGGGCAUGAGUUGAAUUGCUUCUUUGCUUUCAAACCUUGGGCCCUGUGUUUCAAUAUCCAAAUAAUGAAUCAAUU